GAUGAACGCUGGCGGCGUGCUUAACACAUGCAAGUCGAACGGAAAGGCCCAAGCUUGCUUGGGUACUCGAGUGGCGAACGGGUGAGUAACACGUGGGUGAUCUGCCCUGCACUUCGGGAUAAGCCUGGGAAACUGGGUCUAAUACCGGAUAGGACCACAUUUUGGAUGGUGUGGUGGAAAGUUUUUCGGUGUGGGAUGAGCUCGCGGCCUAUCAGCUUGUUGGUGGGGUAAUGGCCUACCAAGGCGUCGACGGGUAGCCGGCCUGAGAGGGUGUACGGCCACAUUGGGACUGAGAUACGGCCCAGACUCCUACGGGAGGCAGCAGUGGGGAAUAUUGCACAAUGGGCGCAAGCCUGAUGCAGCGACGCCGCAUGGGGGAUGACGGCCUUCGGGUUGUAAACGCCUUUCGCUAGGGACGAAGCGUUAUGUGACGGUACCUGGAGAAGAAGCACCGGCUAACUACGUG
rnacentral:rRNA from 1 species